ensembl:lncRNA
CAAAUCUCCUGCUUGGCGAGUGGAUCUUUACCACUGAGCCACCAGGGAAGCCCCCACAUUUAAAAUCCAACAAUCCUGCAAGGUAUGUACUAUUGUCUCUAUUUUAUACAUAAGAGAAUGGAUGAUUUUGAGAUCACACAGCUUAAAAGUGGCAAAGCUGUGACCUGAACACAAGUCAGCAUAUCUUCAAAAUGCCAAGAGCUUCCCGCUCCCAGUGCUGUCGGUAACAGUGGAGAGGGGAGGCGAAUGAUGCUUGGAAGGAUGGAGGAACCUCUUUCUGGUCCACUAACUGGAAUUUAUAGUUCUAAAGCUUCCGUCUCAGCAUCAAAUAUUUUAUUGAAUUGGAUUUAGACCUCUUCACUGUCGACUGAGCCCAAUGAGCCUUCCCACAAAACCUUUCCAAAUCGAGCAGAAGUCAGACAUUGACAUCCCCUGAAUGUGAGCUCCAGAACCAUCAUUCAUGUCUCCCCUGGUUUUGGACACCAGUUCUGGUCUAGACUGGCGUUUCUUGUCCUGCAAAGCCAGUCUGUUGGACUUCCUGGUUCUGAAACCCAUUCCAUCCCAGUUGGAAGCCCUUUGGCUCUGAGCACUGGAGGAAAUGAAGAGGAUAUAUGAAGUUGUUACCUGGAUGGACUGCAUGAAACUCUCAUUAAUUGAGAACACAAGGGACCAGACAAAACAGAUUUUGGAUUAGUUAGUUUGCAGUGUCUGAAAGCAUUGCUGAGAAAUACAGGACAUCUUUUUG